rnacentral:SRP_RNA from 1 species
CCACUCAGAGAAGUGCUGAGUUAUCGGUUUUAAGUUCUGAGUUAGAGGAUAAGGGAGCAGGACACGGCUUCGCACUCAAAACUCAGCACUCAGAACUUUGGGAAAGGGGCUGGGCCCUGUGCAACUGAACCCUGUGAACCCCGCCAGGUCCGGAAGGAAGCAACGGUAAGCGGUCAGUUCUGUGUGCCGCAGGAUCACCUGGCCCCGCUCUUUCUCGAAGCGAGGAGUGCUGAGUUAUGAGUGCUGAGUUG